UUGGGGUCUCCUUUCUCCAGUUAUUUCUUCCCCAAGGACGAAGACCUUAAACAUUGCAGUGGGAGAGCUGACUCUACCUGCUUGUUGCUGGUGUUGAGAGUCCCAGGUCUGCAGAUCACCAGAGGGCCCACUAAGCCGGAACUGGUAUCUUGGAUGGGAUUUAUCGCAGAGGAGUACAUCCAGGCUUCUUGCUAAGUCAGGUACAGUGAGUGGAGAUGGAACUUGGAGGCAACUGUGAUGUGUCCCUCAACCAUACAGCAUGCUGGGACACCUGAAAGCUUUGUGAAUGUGAUUGUUGACCUGACAGUUCAGAAGCCAUCUCCCAGUGUUACUGGGGAUCAUGUCAGCUGUAACAAAAGUGGCUGGAAAGAGGCUGGCCACAUCAGACCUGUGGCCUCUGAUGGUGAGUGUCUGUCCAUGGAAGAAG